AAAUUGAAGAGUUUGAUCAUGGCUCAGAUUGAACGCUGGCGGCAGGCCUAACACAUGCAAGUCGAGCGGCAGCGGGAAAGUAGCUUGCUACUUUUGCCGGCGAGCGG
rnacentral:rRNA from 4 species